GAUGAACGCUGGCGGCGUGCCUAAUACAUGCAAGUCGAGCGAACAGACGAGGAGCUUGCUCCUCUGACGUUAGCGGCGGACGGGUGAGUAACACGUGGAUAACCUACCUAUAAGACUGGGAUAACUUCGGGAAACCGGAGCUAAUACCGGAUAAUAUAUUGAACCGCAUGGUUCAAUAGUGAAAGACGGUUUUGCUGUCACUUAUAGAUGGAUCCGCGCCGCAUUAGAUAGUUGGUAAGGUAACGGCUUACCAAGGCAACGAUGCGUAGCCGACCUGAGAGGGUGAUAGGCCACAUUGGAACUGAGACACGGUCCAGACUCCUACGGGAGGCAGCAGUAGGGAAUCUUCCGCAAUGGGCGAAAGCCUGACGGAGCAACGCCGCGUGAAUGAUGAAGGUCUUCGGAUCGUAAAACUCUGUUAUUAGGGAAGAACAAAUGUGUAAGUAACUAUGCACGUCUUGACGGUACCUAAUCAGAAAGCCACGGCUAACUACGUG
rnacentral:rRNA from 1 species